rnacentral:rRNA from 1 species
UACGUAGGCAGCAAGCGUUGUUCGGAAUUACUGGGCGUAAAGAGUGUGUAGGCGGUGCUCCAAGUCUGGGGUGAAAUCUCCCGGCUUAACUGGGAGGGUGCAUUAGAAACUGGAAUGCUAGAGGAUGGGAGAGAUAAGCGGAAUUCCUGGUGUAGCGGUGAAAUGCGUAGAUAUCAGGAGGAACACCUGUGGUGUAGACAGCUUACUGGACCAUUUCUGACGCUGAGACACGAAAGCGUGGGUAGCAAACAGG